rnacentral:rRNA from 1 species
AGGGUGCAAGCGUUAAUCGGAAUUACUGGGCGUAAAGGGUGCGCAGGCGGCAUGGCAAGAAAGGUGUGAAAUCCCAGGGCUUAACCUUGGAACUGCACUUUUAACUGCCACGCUAGAGUAUGUCAGAGGGGGGUAGAAUUCCACGUGUAGCAGUGAAAUGCGUAGAUAUGUGGAGGAAUACCGAUGGCGAAGGCAGCCCCCUGGGAUAAUACUGACGCUCAGGCACGAAAGCGUGGGGAGCAA